rnacentral:lncRNA from 1 species
GCACCUAGGCAGAAUAGCAGCACCAAUUCUUUCCAUUUUUAAUUUCUUUCCAAUAAAUUCAAGCCAAAUCUUUGUCAAGAAUUUCUCCUAACCUUUUUUGUGUACUCAAACCCUAAUCCUUUAGGUAUAAAUCAUAGAGUGCGUUCUUCACUAUCACAAACACAAACCUUCACCACUCACCACCAUUAUCUUCUCUUCUCCAUUCACCACCACACAAAACCAAUUUACACAUAACAAAAACAAAAAAAAAAGAAACUAAACCAAAAAGAAACAGCAAAGAGACAGAACCAAUAAGCAAAAAUGAGAAGGAAAGAACGAGAAGGAAGAAUCAGAACCGACGAACCUCCGCGCACCGCCAGCUUCCUCCUGAUCGGUCAAUAUUCUUUCUCUCUUACGCGUUGACCUGUUUCUUUUCUUUUAUUUUAUUUUUUGUUUUGCCUUUUUUUUUAUAGUUUAUUUGGUUAUAUCAUUUUAAUGGAUCUGUUAGUUUGUUAUUUUAGUUGAUUAUUUUGAUGUGCAAAAACUCUUAUCUCACUCAAAUAAACACUUAAAUCUUCAUAACAUAAUAAAGAAUAAAUAUUAAGAGUUAAUUGAUCGAAAAAGGAAAAAUUAUAUAAAUAAAGUAAAAUGUUAAAAAUAAAAUAUAAUUUCACCUAAGAUUAUACUAUUAAAUUUUUUUUAAAAAAUACACAUUAAAUUUACAAUGAGCUGCAAUUACAACGAGCACACAAACUAUAAGUUGAUGCUUGACAUUCUAACCUCAAAAUUUGAUUACUAGUACUCUCAUACCUGAAAUUUUGCCCAUUCAUUUUAUUAUUAUGUUGGCAUUUGUCGCAUUUAUUUUCAAAUGUGAGUUUGUCCAUUUGAUAGUGAAUAGAGUCUUAUAAGUGUGAGAUCACGAGUUUGAAUCUCAUUGUUGUCCCUUUGGUGAUUUUUUUAUUACAAUUUUGGCAUUGUUUUUAUGAUUUUUUUUAUUUAUUUAAAUCAUCUUUUUAAGAAGCUUAAUUAGCCCACCUAAAUUGACACAAGAGAGAAUCGAACCUAAAACCUUAAGGAGAAGCACACUCUCAGGUCCCUCCUAGGUCCCAAGCCAAUAUCAUCAUACCAACCCAAGCAGAUUUAUUUAAAUCAUUUGAUAACGAAAAAAUCCAAAAAAGAUGUCAAUUUAUUUUUUAUUUUUUUUUGUUACAAUUUGGUUCUUAUUGUUAAUAACUUUAUUGAAAAAAGCAAAAAAAUAAUGUUAACUGUUUUUUUUCUUCUUUUCUUUGGUUUACUAUUGUUAUAUUUUUAUUACUUUAUUAUUAUUAAGCAAAACAAAAAAAAUCAAAAAGCAAAAAAAUCAAAAAAGGAAACAAGAAAGGCAGUAGCAAUACGCAGAAAAGCUAAAGCACGCUCCUCCUCCCAUGUUUUUUCAACUCCAACUCCCCCUUAAUUCAAGCAUUCAAUUUUUGUUUCUUUCCAAAUUUUGCAUCAAAAUUAAAGAGGUUGUCCCCCUUGCUCUUUUAUCAUUCAAACUCUAGUCCUUUGGGAGGCAGCAAAUUGAGAGAAAGAGGAACAAAAGAAAAAACACGGUAAGCAUUUCACAAAUCCUACAACAACAUUCAAACACCUACAUCAACCUUCCAAAAUCUUUCAAUUAAGCUAAGUACUACUCCACAAACAUUUUAGCUGUCUUUCAACACCUAGCAAGCAGUCACAAAACAAGCAAAAUUAGACGACAUUCUCCACCCAGACCAAGCAAAAAACACAUCAUGCUUGAAAGAAAAGCAAAAACUAAUAAGAGAGGUAAAAAGUCUGCAAACACUACAACUCAUUCUAUACAACUUAGUGAGCAGUACUCCGAGAUUCACAAAAACACUUCAAAUCUAAGAUUAUUGAGAUAUCAUCCAUGUAAUAAGUCAUUUCUUAUUGUGAACACGCAUGAAAGCAUUGGUGUGUUGGUGCCUUUAACUAUAUAAUUAAAGGCACCAACACACCAAUGUUUUCAUUUGUGUUCACAAUAAGAUAUGAGUUAUUACCUAAUUGAUAUAUAUCUCAAUAAUCUCAUAUUUGAAGUAUUUUUUUGUGAGUCUCAGAAUACUGCUCACUAAGUUGUAUAUAAUGAAUUGUAGUCUUUGUAGACUUUUUACCCUUCUGGGUUUUGGCUUUUCUUUCAGGCAUGAUGCGUUUUUUGCUUGGUUUGGGUGGAGAAGGUCGUUUCAUUUUGCUUCUCUGGUGACCGCUUGAUUGGUGUGGAAAGACAGCUGAAAUAUUUGUGGAAUAGUACAUAGCUUAAUUGAAAUGUGUUUGAAUGUUGUCGUUGUGGGAUUUGUGGACUGCUUGCCACAUUUUUUUUCUUUUAUUCAUCUUUUUCUCAAUUUUUUGCCUCCCAAAUGAUUAGAGUUUGAAUGAUAAAAGAGCAUGUUGGACAACCUCUUUAAUUUUGAUGCAGAUUUGGAAAGAAACAAAAAUGGAAUACUUGAAUUAAGGGGGGAUUGGAGUUGAAAAAACAUGGG